ensembl:lncRNA
GGGACACAGGACAAAGCUGAAGGAGAACUGCCGGCUGUUGGACUGUUGAAGUGGGAGAGGACAACAGAGUGAGAAGACUAGGGGAUGAGGAGCGUGCCAAGCUCCAUCGACAGCGUAGAAGGAGUUCGAGGAUGACAUCAUGAUUCUGUGAAAAGCACAGGAACCAGAAGCUAUGGUGGUGAUGACAGCAGUUUCCUAUGAACAUCACCUAACGCUGUGCCACUGUACUGUGCAUACGAUGACACUCUGAAGGCUGCUGGGAUCAUAAUAGCAGUAAGACAACCCUGCACCCUUUCCACAGAGGUGUUUUCUGCAGAGUAUGGACAAUGAAGGAGUCAUAAAUAUCCCCCUCACAGGACGAAGGCCUGAAGUGAGGUAAUGGGAGGCCAUAAAACUAGAGUGCUGAGAGGUCUGCAGCUUUGGAAAUAGCUGAGAACCAUGUUGACAAACAACAAAACCAACUGGUAUGUUUGAAUGUUUAUUCUACAUACAUUUGGACUCUGGUCCUAUGGACAACGAUGGAAACAACUGGAAGAGACAUUCAUGACGCCCUGCAGAACUCAAACCACUCUGCAGAGAGACAUGUGAUGUGCACACCUGGAGGAAGCAUUACCAAGCUGAGAUGUUUUUGAAAAUGUUACUUUUUUAUUUUCACUAUUAAAUUAACAAUUUCUUUGUUUGCUCGUAAGAUGCAGUUUGCCAUGAGAUGAGCUCAAGGAAUGGGAUAACUGCUAAUACAUUUGUUGUACUGUGUGCCUUUUCAGUAAUUUAGGGUGAUUUGACAUAUGCUGAGUAUAAAAAUGUUUGCAUUGAAACUGUCGGACAUGAGGUAUUCAUACCUGGGAACUUUUCAGGCAUAAAGGUCAAAAAGGGGGGAAAUGUUAGAUUUGUAUUGUUGAUUGUCAUUUAUGCUUAGAAAUAUUUACUUCUAUAUGCUUAGAGUUUUGUAAUUAGUUGUAGAUUGGUAGAGGUUUUGAUCCUUGAUAGUCUGCAAACUUUGUGUGUAUUAGACAGCACUUUGGGAGCAUGAGAGGUCAUACCGUGUCUUAUUGUUUUAUGGUAGGAUUAACGUAGUUGCGUCUGUUCUAGUCUAAGUGCUCUUUGUUUAGAUGAACUGCAGGACUUCCUCACCGUGUUAUCUAGGAUGAACCAUCUAGGGUGAGGGGGAGGCUACCCUCUUCCUGACCAAGGAUGUUUGACCCUUUGAUCAGCAGUCCACACACACACACACACACACACACACACACACACACACACACACACAGGCAAGGUACUCUUUGUUUGUAUGUAGACGUCGUAUGUUAAUGAACCUAUGCAUAUUCAUGUAACCUCAAUAAAAGGAUAGUGUAUGGGAGGACGGACGAGAGCUACUGGGGUCAAGCGAAGGAACGGUGCCUGUCCGGUUCUCUCCCGUGCACGAGUACCAUGAA